rnacentral:rRNA from 1 species
AUACGAAGGGAGCUAGCGUUGUUCGGAAUCACUGGGCGUAAAGCGCACGUAGGCGGAUUGGUUAGUCGGGGGUGAAAUCCCGGGGCUCAACCUCGGAACUGCCUUCGAUACUGGCAAUCUUGAGUCCGGAAGAGGUGGGUGGAAUUCCUAGUGUAGAGGUGAAAUUCGUAGAUAUUAGGAAGAACACCAGUGGCGAAGGCGGCCCACUGGUCCGGUACUGACGCUGAGGUGCGAAAGCGUGGGGAGCAAACAGGAUUAGAAACCCCAGUAGUCC